GAGUUUGAUCAUGGCUCAGGACGAACGCUGGCGGCGUGCCUAAUACAUGCAAGUAGAACGCUGAAGGGAGGAGCUUGCUCUUCUUGGAUGAGUUGCGAACGGGUGAGUAACGCGUAGGUAACCUGCCUUGUAGCGGGGGAUAACUAUUGGAAACGAUAGCUAAUACCGCAUAACAAUAGGUGACACAUGUCAUUUAUUUGAAAGGGGCAAUUGCUCCACUACAAGAUGGACCUGCGUUGUAUUAGCUAGUAGGUGAGGUAACGGCUCACCUAGGCGACGAUACAUAGCCGACCUGAGAGGGUGAUCGGCCACACUGGGACUGAGACACGGCCCAGACUCCUACGGGAGGCAGCAGUAGGGAAUCUUCGGCAAUGGGGGCAACCCUGACCGAGCAACGCCGCGUGAGUGAAGAAGGUUUUCGGAUCGUAAAGCUCUGUUGUAAGUCAAGAACGAGUGUGAGAGUGGAAAGUUCACACUGUGACGGUAGCUUACCAGAAAGGGACGGCUAACUACGUGCCAGCAGCCGCGGUAAUACGUAGGUCCCGAGCGUUGUCCGGAUUUAUUGGGCGUAAAGCGAGCGCAGGCGGUUUGAUAAGUCUGAAGUUAAAGGCUGUGGCUCAACCAUAGUUCGCUUUGGAAACUGUCAAACUUGAGUGCAGAAGGGGAGAGUGGAAUUCCAUGUGUAGCGGUGAAAUGCGUAGAUAUAUGGAGGAACACCGGUGGCGAAAGCGGCUCUCUGGUCUGUAACUGACGCUGAGGCUCGAAAGCGUGGGGAGCGAACAGGAUUAGAUACCCUGGUAGUCCACGCCGUAAACGAUGAGUGCUAGGUGUUGGAUCCUUUCCGGGAUUCAGUGCCGCAGCUAACGCAUUAAGCACUCCGCCUGGGGAGUACGACCGCAAGGUUGAAACUCAAAGGAAUUGACGGGGGCCCGCACAAGCGGUGGAGCAUGUGGUUUAAUUCGAAGCAACGCGAAGAACCUUACCAGGUCUUGACAUCCCGAUGCUAUUUCUAGAGAUAGAAAGUUACUUCGGUACAUCGGUGACAGGUGGUGCAUGGUUGUCGUCAGCUCGUGUCGUGAGAUGUUGGGUUAAGUCCCGCAACGAGCGCAACCCCUAUUGUUAGUUGCCAUCAUUCAGUUGGGCACUCUAGCGAGACUGCCGGUAAUAAACCGGAGGAAGGUGGGGAUGACGUCAAAUCAUCAUGCCCCUUAUGACCUGGGCUACACACGUGCUACAAUGGUUGGUACAACGAGUUGCGAGUCGGUGACGGCAAGCUAAUCUCUUAAAGCCAAUCUCAGUUCGGAUUGUAGGCUGCAACUCGCCUACAUGAAGUCGGAGUCGCUAGUAAUCGCGGAUCAGCACGCCGCGGUGAAUACGUUCCCGGGCCUUGUACACACCGCCCGUC
rnacentral:rRNA from 1 species